rfam:Marchantia polymorpha subsp. polymorpha scaffold4193, whole genome shotgun sequence.
GGUUUCAUGGUGUAGUGGUUAUCACGUCUGCUUAACACGCAGAAGGCCGCGAGUUCGAACCUUGCUGAAACCU